rnacentral:lncRNA from 1 species
UCUUAUGAAACAAUUCAAUUUGUCUUAGGUCCUGUUUGAAUACAUAAAUAUCUUAUUUGACAAUUUUUUAUAAUUUAUUUACAAAUUUUAUACAUUUGAUAAAUCAGAUACUAUAGUUGGCCUAAAAAGUUUCUUUUGUUGGAUAAAAUAGAUCACAUCAUAGAUAAGAUAUACUAUCCUACCAAAUCAUAAAUACAAGAUCCUUUAA